GGAUAAAUGGUUGUCCAAGGCUCCAAGUAGAGGGGUGCGCAAGGUUAUGGAGUCCAGAACGGUCACAGUCUGUGGUGGCGAACGCGAAACUGGAUUUUGCUCCGAGUUUGCUACUCCUACGAUGUUUCUGCAAUGGAUAGAUUGGCGUCGAAGCAGAGUGGCUCCCAAGAUUCCCUUCUCUCCAGGCUGGUCAAACUAGGCUUCUUCUGUCCGGCGGUAAAACUAGAUUUACCCAAGAUUUCUUAGCCAUGGCCUUCUCAGUCUCUCUUGUUUAGUAAGUUAAAGCAUUAUUUUAUUAGUGCGUCUUAUAUUUUAUUUUAUCUAUGAUCUUGUGGCAGGAGACAUGAGACAACAGGAAUCUCUCUAUUCUUUAACUAUGAUGUCAUGUUGAAUUUUUCUCUAAACAGACAGUUAACAGAGGACGCCAAGAGUUUGGCCGGCGUUGUGCUUUCAGUGGGAGUGACGUACCCAUCAACUAUGAAGCGCCUGACUUCGUCAAUUUCAAGAUGAUCGGCCGGUGGCUCAGUCUCUCAGAGAUGCUCGUAAGGAUAGAGCGUGCGUGCGUGCGUUCACAUGGGUGAGCGUGCGUGUGUGUGAGUGCUUGUGUCUGUACUGUGUUUCCUAAAAAAAAAAUCUCAUACAAUUAGUUGCACCAUGCAUUCAAUCUUCAUCUCAUAUAUUCUCUACUUUAGCCCUAAGUAUCUCAUAAAAUUGUUCACCUAGCAAUAAAAAAAUAGUAUAGUGAUUGAUUAUGGUUUGGACAUCUAAAUGUACGAGUAUUUUGAGAAAACUUGAAAUACUUAUAUGUUCAACUAAAAAGAAAUGGGAGGGCAGAAACUCUAGAAACGAAUACAAAAGCAAAUACAAAACAAAUACAAUACGGACUGAGAUACAAAAGGAAUAUUUGUCGAAACACAAAAGUCGGAGGGCAUAUGGCAUCGAAGGUUACAACAAUAUGACAUGAGACAUCAAAGAUUUAUAAGCAAUUAAUAAUUCGAAAUGCACUAUUACAAAUUUAUAACAUUUGGAAUUUUACAUGUAUGUAGAUGUAGUGGUGACUGGUGAUCACCUGCGGGAUGAUCUCCAAUUGUGGUCACCAGCUAAUUAAUUAAGCUCUCAUAAUUUGACCUGAACUAGUCUACCUCUC